CGAUCCCAUCCCGAACUCGGAAGUUAAGCUCCUUGGAGCCGAUGGUACUGCUGGGGCGACUCAGUGGGAGAGUAGGACGCCGCCGGGU
rnacentral:rRNA from 1 species